AUAUUGGUCAAUGGCCGAGAGGCUGAACCAGCCAAGUCGCGUGAAGGAAGAAGGAUCUAUGGUUUGUAAACUUCUUUUAUAGGGGAAUAAAGUGGAGGACGUGUCCUUUUUUGUAUGUACCCUAUGAAUAAGCAUCGGCUAACUCCGUGCCAGCAGCCGCGGUAAUACGGAGGAUGCGAGCGUUAUCCGGAUUUAUUGGGUUUAAAGGGUGCGUAGGUGGUGAUUUAAGUCAGCGGUGAAAGUUUGUGGCUCAACCAUAAAAUUGCCGUUGAAACUGGGUUACUUGAGUGUGUUUGAGGUAGGCGGAAUGCGUGGUGUAGCGGUGAAAUGCAUAGAUAUCACGCAGAACUCCGAUUGCGAAGGCAGCUUACUAAACCAUAACUGACACUGAAGCACGAAAGCGUGGGGAUCAAACAGGAUUAGAUACCCUGGUAGUCCACGCAGUAAACGAUGAUUACUAGGAGUUUGCGAUACAAUGUAAGCUCUACAGCGAAAGCGUUAAGUAAUCCACCUGGGGAGUACGCCGGCAACGGUGAAACUCAAAGGAAUUGACGGGGGCCCGCACAAGCGGAGGAACAUGUGGUUUAAUUCGAUGAUACGCGAGGAACCUUACCCGGGCUUGAACUGCAGCGGAAUGGUUUGGAAACAGAUCAGCGAGCAAUCGCCGCUGUGGAGGUGCUGCAUGGUUGUCGUCAGCUCGUGCCGUGAGGUGUCGGCUUAAGUGCCAUAACGAGCGCAACCCUUAUCACUAGUUACUAACAGGUGAAGCUGAGGACUCUGGUGAGACUGCCAGCGUAAGCUGUGAGGAAGGUGGGGAUGACGUCAAAUCAGCACGGCCCUUACAUCCGGGGCGACACACGUGUUACAAUGGCAUGGACAAAGGGCAGCUACCUGGUGACAGGAUGCUAAUCUCCAAACCAUGUCUCAGUUCGGAUCGGAGUCUGCAACUCGACUCCGUGAAGCUGGAUUCGCUAGUAAUCGCGCAUCAGCCAUGGCGCGGUGAAUACGUUCCCGGGCCUUGUACACACCGCCCGUCAAGCCAUGAAAGCCGGGGGUACCUGAAGUGCGUAACCGCAAGGAGCGCCCUAGGGUAAAACUGGUGAUUGGGGCUAAGUCGUAACAAGGUAGCCGUACCGGAAGGUGCGGCUG
rnacentral:rRNA from 1 species